rnacentral:rRNA from 1 species
CCUACGGGCGGCAGCAGUGAGGAAUAUUGGUCAAUGGGCGCGAGCCUGAACCAGCCAAGUCGCGUGAGGGAGGACGGCCCUACGGGUUGUAAACCUCUUUUGCCGGGGAGCAACGGGCGCCACGUGUGGCGUCACUGAGAGUACCCGGAGACAAAGCAUCGGCUAACCCCGUGCCAGCAGCCGCGGUAAUACGGAGGAUGCGAGCGUUAUCCGGAUUUAUUGGGUUUAAAGGGUGCGUAGGCGGAGCGUUAAGUCAGUGGUCAAAUUGAGGGGCUCAACCCCUUCCCGCCAUUGAAACUGGCGUGCUGGAGUGGAAGAGAAGUAGGCGGAAUGCGUGGUGUAGCGGUGAAAUGCAUAGAUAUCACGCAGAACCCCGAUUGCGAAGGCAGCAUGCCGGCUUCCGACUGACGCUGAAGCACGAAAGCGUGGGGAUCGAACAGGAUUAGAUACCCGAGUAGUC